GCUCACUCUGGCAGAACAUAUCCUAAAAUUGGAAUGAUCAGAGAAGAUUUGCAUGGCCCCUGUGAAAGGAUGACAUGCAAAUCUGUGAAGUGUCUGGAAUUUGU
rnacentral:snRNA from 1 species